UGGUGGCGAGUGGCGAACGGGUGAGUAACAUAUCGGAACGUUCCAAUAAUGGGGGGUAACGAGUCGAAAGAUUCGCUAAUACCGCAUACGCCCUACGGGGGAAAGCUAGGGACCUUCGGGCCUGGCGUUAAUGGAGCGGCCGAUAUCUGAUUAGCUAGUUGGUGAGGUAAAGGCUCACCAAGGCGACGAUCAGUAGCUGGUCUGAGAGGACGACCAGCCACACUGGAACUGAGACACGGCCCAGACUCCUACGGGAGGCAGCAGUGGGGAAUUUUGGACAAUGGGGGCAACCCUGGUCCAGCCAUGCCGCGUGAGUGAAGAAGGCCUUUGGGUUGUAAAGCUCUUUCGCAAGGGAAGAAACGAUUUAGACGAAUAAUCUAAGUUAAUGACGGUACCUUGAUAAGAAGCACCGGCUAACUACGUGCCAGCAGCCGCGGUAAUACGUAGGGUGCGAGCGUUAAUCGGAAUUACUGGGCGUAAAGCGAGCGCAGGCGGUUCUGCAAGUCAGAUGUGAAAUCCCCGGGCUCAACCUGGGAACUGCGUUUGAAACUACAGAGCUAGAGUAUAGGAGAGGGGGGUAGAAUUCCACGUGUAGCAGUGAAAUGCGUAGAGAUGUGGAGGAAUACCAAUGGCGAAGGCAGCCCCCUGGCCUAAUACUGACGCUCAUGCUCGAAAGCGUGGGGAGCAAACAGGAUUAGAUACCCUGGUAGUCCACGCCCUAAACGAUGUCUACUAGUUGUUGGUGGAGUAAAAUCCAUUAGUAACGCAGCUAACGCGUGAAGUAGACCGCCUGGGGAGUACGGA
rnacentral:rRNA from 1 species